GCUAUCCGUCAUUUCUGACUAUUAGAUCUACAUCUAACGGUUGUGAGGUAAGUUAUGGCAUUUUUGUAACAAUAGCCCACUUCUCUGCUCCAAUUUACAGAAAAUCCCUCAUUAUCUUGAAAACAACCACUUCCCUCCCUCGCCUCAUCAAAAUAUCCUGAGAAAUACUCCCUCCGUCCGAAAUUCAUGUCACAUUGGUCAUUUUGCAAUUUAGUCCUCAGCGUUUUCCCGACCGAACCCGAAGUCCCUCUGUGUAGUCGCUCUCUUCCUCCUUCCUCUCCGACCGUCUGGCACCGCCGACGCCGUUUCCCUCCGCGCAGCUCCACACUGCGCGUGGCUCCUCUCCCUCCCCAGCGCCGGCGCCCUCUCCCUUGUGCGCGUUACCGACACUCUCUUCCUCACACAUGUCCCUCUACAUCAGUGAAAAUCUGAUUUUCCCCCUCCGGCUCUUCGAUCUACAGCGGCCGGGCUCAAUCUGCGGCGGAGACUACCAAGACGGCGCGACAGAGCUGCUUCUGCCGGUCGCAUGCAUGGGGCUGCUGCUGGUGGUCGUCAGGCACGCAGCAGCGGCGGCGGGAAGGUGGCGGCAAGGGGGCGUCGAGCUCCGACAUGUUCCUCCAACCGCUCUAGGACUCCACCACCAAGCACACCAACCUCAAGGCAUUUGAUGUGCACCCUUGGUCGCCCGGUCCGACGAACUGCUAACGAAACAAUGCCCAACAUCGUGAGUGUGCUCACGUUCUGCAAUCAAGCAACCGCCCUCCUCCAGCAGCAGCAAAAGGUUUUUGCUCUCCCUUGUUACUGGAUUUAAACUGGAGAGUGGAGACAACAUUUAAGUUCUGAACCUUAUUCUUUUCAACCUUGUUGCUCUGUUGGAACUUUACACUGGCCACUCAUCUAGUGCCACAUGGGUGUAUUUUCCUUGGUCAAUCUUUUUACGUGGAUGCCUUAUUUUUUUGGUAGGUUAAACUUUGCAAUUGUUUUUUACGGUAAGGAAUCAACCCACCACCCACAUGAAGUUAGCUAGCUGGGUGAUCCUGGUCCAAAUGAAUUAAAGGUGACCUCCUCAAAGUAGUCCUAAGAGAAUCUUGAAAGUCCAAGAGAGAAGCAACAUACUUGGCAAAAAUGGCAACAUUAAUGUCAAUCAACAGCAUCUAGGCAUUUGCACGAUAAAACAACAUCAAUAUCAAAGAAUUUGAAGAUUCCUCAAAUCAUAGUUUAGCAAAAAGAACACCGGAGGUAAAAACACAAGCAGGAAACACCGUGGUGUUUGUCUGAAUUUAUUUCCUGCACAUCAAUUGUUUUUCUCAACAUCUGUAGAGGUUAUGCUUGUGCUACUGAAUUUUAAAUUGAACGCAAUUAUCAUUUAGAUGCACAUUUGAGGGCCUGCAGUUGGUUAUUUGGUUGUCCCAAACUUGAGAUCAAUGCAAUCACCUACCUUUAGUUCCAUUACUAUUCCAUUUAAUAGAAAAAAAGAGCAUACAUUUUUGUUCGUUAAAGAUAAACACUUCCUUCAGUGUUCACUGUUCAGAAUGGUGGUAGCUUAAAACUGUCAGAAAUGUUGAUGUCUAGGAGGAACUGGAGCAGCUCUGCUUGCCAGAUGAGAUUUGAGCAAGAAGCUCCUUAGCUCGAAGGCCGGAGUGAACAAACAUCCCAGCAAUCAUGUGCUGCCAAGGACACUGAAUAAUCUCGAGUGAAGUUGGAAGCCAUUGGAUCUUUUUCGAAAUGCAACUAGCAGGACAUCAACUCCAAAAUUAUCAAAGAGUGCAGAGGAGCAGCAGCAACAACAACAACACGAGCACGGGAGAAGCUGGCGACAUGGGAGAAUCACGGGAGACAGUAGAGCUCCACCAGCAGGAGCUCGAGGAGAAGCAGCAGUGGGAGCUCGGGAAGAAACAGCAACCGGAGCUCAAGGAGAAGCAACAGCGGGAGCUCAAGGACGUGUGAGAGAGUAGUUCUGGGCAGCGGCGGCAGAGCAGUUAUGGGUGGAAGCGCAGAUCUUGGCUAUGGCGGAAGAGCAGUUCUGGGCGGCGGCGGCAGAGCAGUUGGGCGGCAAUGCAAGUCUGGGCGGCGGGAGGGGAUCAAGGCAGCGGAGGCGAUGCCCCUAGGAAACGCGACUGGAGGGGACCGUAGCUGGCCGGUGCCGGCCCCUGGCGAUGCUCGGGCAAUGAGCGGAGGAAGAAGACGGGGCGGAGGGGUCUGUUUGAGACAAUUUUCGGAUGACGAGGUUUUGUUUGCAAAUUUACCAAUGAACUGGGCGUACAACAUUAAUUUCGGGACGGAGGGAGUAUAUUUUGAGUGAAACGUAUAGUGGUAUAUGUAUAUCAAAACAAUAGUGCUUUCUUUCAAGUUUGUGAACAAGUACUAUUCUACUUUGGAUCCGUUGCAACGCACAGGCAAAUUGCUAGUCAUGUCUAAAACCUCAAAUUCAUACACAAGCAUGCACAUAGAUCAGCACACGCACUUUGGCUUUUAGGACAUAAUACAACUUACUACCUUGGUCCUGGUUUAUUAGUCCUCCUUAUAGUUUGUGUCAAAUUUUGAACUUUGAUUUAACUAUCAAAAAUUAAGUUAUAUACCCUAAUAAUAGUAUAAUUGGAAACCUCUUUCAAAUAUGCAUCUAGCAAUAUAAGUUUUGUGACAUACAACUUAUAAUUUGUUAGUCAAAUUUAUGUCAAAGUUGGGCAAAAAAUACAAAGGAGACUAAUAAAUCCGGACGAAGGUAGUACUAACAUUGCAUGUGGGAGUUCAUACACCAUGAGACAAUCAAAAUGAUGGCAUGUUCUCUAAAUUAAAUUAAUUUUAUAUGGAUAGGUCAAUUUCAUCAUCGACGGCAGCCCUUGCCCUUGCCCUUUGAGGGAGUCUGGGAUUAGGGGUCUCCGGACAGCCAGACUCUAUCCUUCGGCCGGACUAUUGGACUAUGAAGAUACUAAAUUGAAGACUUCGUCUCGUGUCCGGAUGGGACUCUACUUGGCGUGGAAGGCAAGUUAGGCAAUACGGAUAUGAAUAUUUCC